rnacentral:lncRNA from 1 species
CCCCACCCCUACUCGCUCCACUCCAGACCCCGGGCACUGGCCGGAUCAGCGCAUGCGCGCAGGUGAAACGAAGUCGGGGUGGGGUGGAGGAGGCUGGGGGUCGCGGGCGAUAGCUAGCGCCGCUGGUCCGGGUUGUGGACUCCGAGCGAUCUCGGAUCUAGAGUCUAGAUCGAAGGAUGAGAUACCCUGGAUAUGACUCGGUGAGAGACGUGACGUGAAGGGGUUUGGCAAGACCCGAGACCCUACUUGGAGAGCCCCCUUCCUCUAUGUCCCACCCCUCCCGGGACUCCCUCUGCGACCUCCGCCCGCGACCAGAGUCAGGGAGCCGCCUGACUCUGCUGGCUGGAGCAAUGAUGACACCUAGCGGACAGUGACUGGGCGGCCCCGGUGGCGGCGAUGGGGACCCCAGCCUCGAGGAGGUGCUAUUGGAGGGCUGGGGUGGCGCUUCAGCACCAGCAUGGGCCGGACAGCGCCUCCCACCCUGAGGCCCUCGAAACUCAGUUUUGGAGCUCCUCGGAAGGGAUCCAAUGGUAGACCCUGAAGGGAUCUCGAACUUCUUCGGACCGCUCCCGACAGACCCAGGUGGCCUCCAGUUAGCAAAGCUGCAAUCCGGGAACCCACUGUUAUCCCCUCUCUAAGCUCCUUUUCCCUCCUUGCCCAGCCCGGGGGAGGGAGUGGAGGGUCCCACAUCUGUUCAUACUACAGUCCCUGACGCCAGUUCAAGUUUUACUAGAGAGGGGCCCCGAAGAGGACUUGGGACAGGACUGAAAAGCUGCGCAUCCACUUGCAAGUUAAACAGUCGCCGGAAUAGAGGUACACGUGUGUGGGCCGGCGCUAGGACCCAGG